rnacentral:rRNA from 1 species
UACGGGGGGGGCAAGCGUUGUUCGGAAUUACUGGGCGUAAAGGGCUCGUAGGCGGCCAACUAAGUCAGACGUGAAAUCCCUCGGCUUAACCGGGGAACUGCGUCUGAUACUGGAUGGCUUGAAUCCGGGAGAGGGAUGCGGAAUUCCAGGUGUAGCGGUGAAAUGCGUAGAUAUGCGGAGGAACACCGAUGGCGAAGGCAAUCUCCUGGGCCUGCACUGACGCUCC